rnacentral:rRNA from 1 species
CAAGGAAUUUUCCACAAUGGACGAAAGUCUGAUGGAGCAACGCCGCGUGUGGGAUGACGCUUUUCGGAGUGUAAACCACUGUUCAUGGGGACGAAGCACUGACGGUACCCAUGGAGGAAGGCCCGGCUAACUACGUGCCAGCAGCCGCGGUAAUACGUAGGGGUCGAGCGUUGUCCGGAGUUACUGGGCGUAAAGCGCAUGCAGGCGGCUCAUUACGCAUGGCGUGAAAGCCCCCGGCUCAACCGGGGAGGGUCGUCGUGAACGGGUGAGCUUGAGGGUAUCAGGGGCUGGUGGAAUUCCCGGUGUAGUGGUGAAAUGCGUAGAGAUCGGGAGGAACACCUGUGGCGAAGGCGGCCAGCUGGGAUACACCUGACGCUGAGAUGCGAAGGCGUGGGGAGCGAACGGG